AGGAAUACAUCGGAAUCUACUCUGUCGGUGGGGGAGUAACGUAGGGAAACUUACGCUAAUACCGCAUACGACCUACGGGUGAAAGCAGGGGACCGUUCGGGCCUUGCGCUAUCAGAUGAGCCUAGGUCGGAUUAGCUAGUUGGUGAGGUAAUGGCUCACCAAGGCGACGAUCCGUAACUGGUCUGAGAGGAUGAUCAGUCACACUGGAACUGAGACACGGUCCAGACUCCUACGGGAGGCAGCAGCC
rnacentral:rRNA from 1 species